GAUGAACGCUAGCGGCAGGGCCUAACACAUGCAAGUCGAGGGGGUAACAUAGAAAAAGCUUGCUUUUCUGAUGACGACCGGCGCACGGGUGCGUAACGCGUAUACAACCUACCUUUUAGCGGGGAAUAGCCCACGGGAAAUUGGAUUAAUGCCCCAUAGUAUAUGGACUUCUCCUGAAGUUUAUAUUAAACAUUUAUGGCUAUUAGAUGGGUAUGCGUCCUAUUAGUUAGUUGGUAAGGUAACGGCUUACCAAGGCAGCGAUAGGUAGGGGUCCUGAGAGGGAGAUCCCCACACUGGUACUGAGACACGGACCAGACUCCUACGGGAGGCAGCAGUGAGGAAUAUUGGACAAUGGGCGAGAGCCUGAUCCAGCCAUGCCGCGUGCAGGAAGACUGCCCUAUGGGUUGUAAACUGUCUUUUACAGAGGAAGAACCACCCCACGUGUGGGGGUUUGACGGUACUCUGCGAAUAAGGAUCGGCUAACUCCGUG
rnacentral:rRNA from 1 species